GUGUAACCAUGGUUCAGUGAGUCUUCUCAAAUCCCACGGGGAUUUUCUGACUUCCUGCUUCACAGCCAACUACCUUUGUGACUCAGAACACAAACAGUCCCAUGGUUUGGAUAGUCUCCCAACCUCUGCUGAAGUAUGGGGAAGGCUCACACUCAUGUAUUAUGCCUAUGAGCCUCAGGCACAUUCUGAAAGUCUCAGGAAUCUCAUUUAUCACCAGUGGUGGAAGAGGGCCUUCAUACAUACUAGGAGAACUACUAUAGCCAGUACAAACCCCUGAAGAUUCCAUGUUUUGCUGCUGGACGAAGUGCAUACAAGAACUGAAAAACAAACACCACGGGAAUAACCAGUG